rnacentral:rRNA from 1 species
AGCGGCGAACGGGUGAGUAACGCGUAGGAAUCUACCUAGUAGAAGGGGAUAGCCCGAGGAAACUCGGAUUAAUACCGUAUACGUCCUUAGGGAGAAAGAGGGCUUAGCUUUGAUGCUCUCGCUAUUAGAUGAGCCUGCGUAAGAUUAGCUUGUUGGUGAGGUAAAGGCUCACCAAGGCGACGAUCUUUAGCUGGUCUGAGAGGACGAUCAGCCACAUUGGGACUGAGACACGGCCCAUACUCCUACGGGAGGCAGCAGUGGGGAAUAUUGGACUAUGGGCGCAAGCCUGAUCCAGCUAUACCGCGUGUGUGAAGAAGGCCUUCGGGUUGUAAAGCACUUUAAGUAAGGAAGAAAAGAGUAUUGUUAAUACCAAUACUCCGUGACAUUACUUACAGAUUAAGGACCGGCUAAUUCCGUGCCAGCA